rnacentral:misc_RNA from 1 species
CAGCAACCAACCAUUCACCCCCCCAGCAUUGACGGCUGCGCUGCUUUGAAGACCGAUGCUAACCGGAUCUGAUGUUCUGCAAACGCGAGAGAGGGGGCUUGAAGGCGCCCAGGAGUCUAUGCUGCCCUCAUUCCCUUCGAUUCAGGAUGCAAAGAAGUUCGGCGGCAGCCAUCUACCAGACUCUGUCAGUGUGGCGGAGAACUGCAGAGACGGCAGCGAGUCGGAUGAUGUCAUCAAAGCAACGCCGUUUCGCUUCGUCAUCGUGGCGCUGUUCGCUGCCUUUGGCUUCAUCAACCAAGUGCAGUACGUCGCGUUUGCCUCGAUCACUCGCGAGACACAAACUUACUUCGGCGUCAGCGCUCUCGAGGUGAACCUCCUCAUCCUUCUUAUUCCGAUCGUCUACGUGCUUGGUGUGAUACCCGGCUGCUUUGUGUACAAUAAGGUAGGUCUGCGCUAUGGCAUGAUCAUCGGCGCGGCACUGAACGCCUUCGCUUCGGUACUGAAGCUCGUUGCCGUCUGGGCCCCCAAGUACCCUCUCCUCGUCGUUGCCCAGGUGUUCGUGGCAGGAGGGCAGAUUCUCUUCCUGAGCCUGCCCCCUCUCAUCGCCGGCAUUUGGUUCCCCCCGAAUGAGCGAACAGUGGCGACGGCGGUAGCGUCGCUGAUGGGGUUUGCCGGCAUGGCGGUCGGCAUGUUCUACUCACCGAACGUCAUCUUUCUGCCGGACCAUAACACUCGGAAGGAGUGGGGGGCGUCGAUGGGGUCGCAAUUCGGCUUUUCCACGUUGGUGCUGCUCCUCAUGCUGGCUCUCGCAAGCGACAAGCCCAAGCACCGUCCCUCGUUCACGUCCACGGAACACUACAAACUGCCGCUGCUCAAGUUCCUGAAGUCGCAGUUUCAGCACUUAAACUUUGUGCUCCUGACGGUUGCCUUCGGUCUGAUUACAGGCUUCUUCACGGCCGUCGCCGGGAUACUGGCGCAGCUCUUAGAACCCUUCGGCAUUAGCGAGACCAAGUCAGGCAUUCUCGCCUUCUCUGGGAUUCUAGGUGGCGCCGCGAACUGCGCACUCGUAGGCACCUUUGUGGAUCGAACGCAUUACUACAAAUGCACAGCGCUGACACUCGCGGCAAUCUCGACAGCGCUGUUACUCGUGGUAGUUAUCGUCGCCAAGGCGCCGAUCAAUUUGGGCGCGGUGACGCUUGCCUUCUACAUCUUAGUCCCGUUUCUCGCGUUUUUGGUGCUGCCGAUUGUGCCAGUGGUGAUGGAGCUGGCGGUGGAGCUAACAUACCCCUGCCCUGAGACCGUAUCAUCUACCAUCGUUCUCGCUUCGAUGUGCUUCGUGUCUUUUGCGGGCAUGGUUGUCUUUUCUCUUAUUCUCGGAGACAAGCCAACUAUGGACAGUAGCCUCUACGUUCUCCUCAUCACCCUUCUCGUGUCCGCAGUGAGCCUUGGGAUGCUGUUCUUUGUAAAGGAGCAGCUGCGCCGGAAGGCCCAGGACAAAAUCCUUUGCGAGACCGGGAACGGGAGCGCUUCUCAGGCCGUCAAGCGCCCGACUGCAGAAACGGAUGUGCCCGCAGCUGAUGCGCGAGCGCAAAGUCCAUUAUAGAGCGCUUCUCGUGCCAUCGCUCACGGCGUUCAUGAGCUCAGGAGACCACAGGUGACUUGAGCGGCACUGUUGCUUCUCUCUUUCCAGCUUGCUGUCGUUUUCGUUCUGCUUUUCUUUUAUUGUGGAGGGACACGUCGUUCCGUCGGCUUCCCUCCUCCUACGCCUCUGAGCGCCUGAUGCUGCUGCCUCCCCAUUUGCCUGCGUUGUCAAACUUUGCUCGCUUGUUCUCCCCCCAUGAUGACGGCGGGGGCACACACACACACACACACACACAGAGACCGCUCUCCGCGCGUGGCGUCUGAGGGUCCCGCACCCAGCUCUCCGUGUGGAAGGCGGCCGAGCAGCCCCCCUCCCCCUGCUGUAUCCCUGCCAAAUGCCGAACCGCCUGCGGUGCGGACAUGGCCAAGUGCCGACGACGUGUGGGAGGUCUGGGCGCCGUGUGGGAGCGACGUGUGGGGCGGGUGGUGGGUGGGUGGAGCUUGCGGCAGGGGGUCGUGCUCUCCGAUGCCUGAGCCGGCGCAUUGCUGGAAGGCGUGCGUCCAGGGCUGCGUCGCACGACGCGAUGGGUGGCCUGUGGCAGGGCCGGUGGGGUGCGGCGUUCAGCUGAGUUUCGUAUUUUUGCUUGCCUGUGUGCUUGUCUCUCUCUUCGUCGUGCGGUAUGAGUGGGGCCUCUUCCUCAGGGUGGGGCUCCACCGCUGAAAAGAAGCGCAGAGAAAUUACGAGUCGUGAUGGAAGGCGGAAAAGACCGUCGAUAGGCAACAGGAAGAGCGCCUACGGCUCGCAAUUCUUGAAGCAGUGCGGAUCGAUUCGAAGGAAACCCAUAGAGGACUGCUGCGUGUUCUCUCGCGCAUAUGCCAUCGAAGGCGCUCGCUGCGUACCCGUUGAUGCCCGCUCGCGUGCCUCCGUUGUGAGCGUUCGCGAAGGUCGUGAAGUUCUUAGAAAACCACGUUCCGAGGCAUACAGCAACGAAUACACCCACCCACAUACACGUACGCACACACACACACACACCCAUGUACACCCGCUCGCUGUCUCGCUCCAUUCAUGCGUUGAGCUGCUCGCCUCUCUCUGUUCUUCCUUCGUC